CCUACGGGAGGCUGCAGUGGGGAAUAUUGCACAAUGGGCGCAAGCCUGAUGCAGCCAUGCCGCGUGUGUGAAGAAGGCCUUCGGGUUGUAAAGCACUUUCAGCGGGGAGGAAGGCGUUAAGGUUAAUAACCUUGGCGAUUGACGUUACCCGCAGAAGAAGCACCGGCUAACUCCGUGCCAGCAGCCGCGGUAAUACGGAGGGUGCAAGCGUUAAUCGGAAUUACUGGGCGUAAAGCGCACGCAGGCGGUCUGUCAAGUCGGAUGUGAAAUCCCCGGGCUCAACCUGGGAACUGCAUUCGAAAGUGGCAGGCUAGAGUCUUGUAGAGGGGGGUAGAAUUCCAGGUGUAGCGGUGAAAUGCGUAGAGAUCUGGAGGAAUACCGGUGGCGAAGGCGGCCCCCUGGACAAAGACUGACGCUCAGGUGCGAAAGCGUGGGGAGCAAACAGGAUUAGAUACCCUUGUAGUC
rnacentral:rRNA from 1 species